rnacentral:lncRNA from 1 species
ACUUAGAAUUCCAUAAAAGCUUAAUGUACUUACGGUAGCAGUAAAGAAAAUGCCCCCAAAGGGAGUCGCACAAUUAGGAGGUGUGGCCUUCUUGGAGUAGGUUUGAUCUUGUUGGAGGAAGUGUGUUGCUAUGGAGGUGGGCUUUGAGAUCUCAUUUAUGCUCAGGUCACACCCACUGAGAAAGAUCACUAGUCAAGAUGUAAGAACUCUCAGCUCUUUCUCUAACACCAUGCCUGCCUGCAUGCUGCCAUGCUUCCUACCAUGAUGAUAAUGGACUAAACUUCUGAACUAAUAUGGUUGCCUGCAGACAAGCAAAAACAGAAAAUUAAAGCUACAGACAUGACAGAAGCACUGUACCUAACCUGCCUAUGCAGUCAGUUGACCC